rnacentral:ribozyme from 1 species
GAUUAUUUAAAAAGGGAGGGGGGGGGAUGUCUGAUAAAGGGUAUGAAAUGAUAAAAAUACAUAAUGUAUUUUUUUUUAAUUCUUCAUUUUUCAUUCACAUGCACUCAACUGAAUAUCAGGAA